GGAAACACCGUUCUGGGAGGGGUGCUCGCUGGUUUGCAACCAGGAGGUUGCCGGUUCGAUCCCGGUCGGCUCCA
rnacentral:tRNA from 1 species